rnacentral:rRNA from 1 species
GACGAACGCUGGCGGCGUGCUUAACACAUGCAAGUCGAACGGAAAGGCCCUGCUUUUGUGGGGUGCUCGAGUGGCGAACGGGUGAGUAACACGUGAGUAUCCUGCCCUUGCCUUUGGGAUAACUUCAGGAAACUGGGGCUAAUACCGGAUAGGUGCUCCUGCUGCAUGGCGUGGGUUGGAAAGUUUCGGCGGUUGGGGAUGGACUCGCGGCUUACCAGUUUGUUGGUGGGGUAGGUGAUUACCAAGGCUUUGACGGGUAGCCGGCCUGAGAGGGUGACCGGCAAAAUUAGGACUGAGAUACGGCCCAGAGUCCUACGGGAGGCAGCAGUGGGGAAGAUUGCACAAUGGGCGGAAGCCGGAUGCAGCAACGCCGCGUGCGGGAUGACGGCCUUCGGGUUGUAAACCACUUUCGCCGGUGACGAAGCGUGAGUGACGGUAAUGGGUAAAGAAGCACCGGCUAACUACGUG